rnacentral:tRNA from 1 species
AGAAAGGUGGCCGAGUGGUCGAAGGCGCACGCUUGGAAAGCGUGUAUACGGCAACGUAUCGAGGGUUCGAAUCCCUUCCUUUCUG